AUGAAGGCUCUUAGAGAUAUUCUUGAGAAAUAUGAGACUGCCUCAGGCCAAAAGGUAAAUCUGAAUAAGUCCUCCAUUUUCUUUGGUAAGGGUUGUUCUAUGGAUAAUAAGACUCUUUGGAAACAAACAGUGCGGAUUCAGUCAGAAGCUUUAAGUGAGAAGUACCUUGGACUACCAACACAGGUUGGGAGAUCUAAGGAGGGGACUUUCAAAUACUUGACGGAAAGCUCAAAAAAUAAAGUAGGGGGCUAUAUGGGUCAAGGCCUCUCCAAAAAGGCUAGGGAAGUUCUCAUCAAAUCGGGACUGCAAACAAUACCAACAUUCACCAUGAGUUGUUUUCACCUCGCAAAGAAGAUGUGUCGGAACUUGACUUCUAUUUCUUGA
rnacentral:rRNA from 1 species